UGGGGAAUUUUGGACAAUGGGCGAAAGCCUGAUCCAGCAAUGCCGCGUGUGUGAAGAAGGCCUUCGGGUUGUAAAGCACUUUUGUCCGGAAAGAAAUCCUUGGCUCUAAUACAGUCGGGGGAUGACGGUACCGGAAGAAUAAGCACCGGCUAACUACGUGCCAGCAGCCGCGGUAAUACGUAGGGUGCAAGCGUUAAUCGGAAUUACUGGGCGUAAAGCGUGCGCAGGCGGUUUGCUAAGACCGAUGUGAAAUCCCCGGGCUCAACCUGGGAACUGCAUUGGUGACUGGCAGGCUAGAGUAUGGCAGAGGGGGGUAGAAUUCCACGUGUAGCAGUGAAAUGCGUAGAGAUGUGGAGGAAUACCGAUGGCGAGGCGAGCCCCUGGGCAAUACUGACGCUCAUGCACGAAAGCGUGGGGGAGCAAAACAGGAUUAGAUACCCUGGUAGUCCACGCCCUAAACGAUGUCAACUAGUUGUUGGGGAUUCAUUUCCUUAGUAACGUAGCUAACGCGUGAAGUUGACCGCCUGGGGAGUACGGUCGCAAGAUUAAAACUUAAAGGAAUUGACGGGGUCAUA
rnacentral:rRNA from 1 species